UCUCCGAUCCAGGAUCUCCGAUCUUCGUCGUUACGUUUUCAUCUUCUUUAACUCCUUCCAAGUUCCAACAAUGGCUUCCUGAAUCCAACUCCAUCGUCUUCAUAGUCAACCUCAAAGAUCACAGAAUGGAGCUUGCUCUUUCCAUCCUCUUCCUCUCUCCCAACUUCUCCUCUUUUCUUCGUCCUGCUACUGCCAGAGGCGGCCUUCAUACUUCCUACCCUCCAGGUGGUUCUCUAUCUUAGCUACUGGAUUCCUUGAUUCAGAUGUGGAGAAAUUAGUCAUUACCAAUUCUUUUGUGGUUCACAGGUUUCCCUUGUUGCAAAUUAUCCAUGGGAUGGCACAUAGGAUAAAAGGUAAUCAAUUUACAUCCAUAAAAGUUCUGCGCUGAACCAUGCUUAUUGAUAAUUGUCUUCAUUCAUUUCCAAUAGACUUCUUCCGGCUGUACGUUGGCCUCAGUGUGAGUGUACGUUUUGAUCAUUAUUCAAUUUUACCUAUGAUGCUCAAUGUGUUCAGGUUUUUAAAUGUUUCUUUUAUAGUGUGAAACAAGCAUGAUGAUGUCAGUAUUAGGUCUUAAACUGUUACCGUAAUGUUAUGAACAUUGCCGAUUACUUCUAAUAUGAUUAUGGAUUUUCGAAUGGUGCCUAACAAUAUGUGUAAGGUCAAAGUAACACUAUCCCAGAAUUUAUAUGCUAAUGCUUAUAAAUUUUUAUUUUGCACAUACUCGUCUUUUGAUCGAAAUUAAAUUACGGGAAAGAUUAUCUUGCAUGUCCGGAUGACGAGACAUUCUGGUUCUUAGCAAGUGUAUACAGUCGCUCUCACUACAAUGUGUCAUUGAGCAAGGAAUUUGAGGGAGGCAUUACAAAUGGAGCUUUCUGGUAUGAUGGCUUGAAACAUUACAACUUAUUAUAGGUAUAAUUUAGCUGUUUGACGUGUUGUCUCAUGAUCAAAACAACAUGUUGUUUUGAUCAUGAGAAGAGUAAUCAUAAGUGCAUAGCAUUUUAAGUAUUCUCGAAAUAACUUCCUCUGUGUGAAACAUUUGACAUUUAGAGCAAAAAUUCUCCUAUGACACCAUUUCAGAUAUUUCAAACGUUUAAUUGUAGAUGGGUGUGAUAUCGUUUAACUACACUCAACUUAUACCCUUUAGCUAGGAGUAUAUGGAAGGAUCCUUUCAUCAGAUGGUGGUAGGCCGUUACCUGGCUUUAUUGCAAUCGAAGGAAUAAAUUCCAAGGUUCAAGCUAGCAGAGCAAUUGUGGAUUACCAUAGCUUGCUUGCCCCCGCCGGAAGAUAUAAGGUCACAGCUACUGUGCCUGGGUAUAAAUCAAAGACGACAUGUAUCUGGUUGGAAGAAGAAGGCACGACAAAUGGGGAUUUUGUUCUUGAUCCUGAAGUCAAUCCCAGAGAAAUUCAACUUCAAAGUGCCUGUGAUUGCGGCUGGGGAAGUAUGAGCAUCAUUUGGGGAACCCCUUUCGAAGUUUGAAGCUCUUUGCUUGAGCAAAUUUCCGGCCCAUUAGCACUGCCAGUGCUUCCGCCGCAUUGGGGGAAGAUAGGUGAGAGUGCAGGGAAACACCACCCAGGAAAGUGCCAUUGUGGUCACUGGUCACCCGCUAUAACUCUGGCUGGAUCUUCAAAGGCAACUCGAGUCCAUUGAGAAAUCAAAGAUACAUCUUAACCUCUGGCAAUGCUUAUACCUCUCAACUUUUGCCACAUUUCUGUACACUUCAUUCCAACAGGUCAGAAACCUUAAACCCUUUUACGCAAUUGAUUAGAUAUUUGCCAUUUUCAAUUGAAACCAGGUUUCAAUUCUUCGAACUUAUCAUCGUGUUUGGCACCCUAGUGUUACAAUUUUCUGGGAUUGGGAUGCCAAACCCCACCCAAGUCAGGCCCCGUUUGGGAUUGAGGUGAUUUUAAAAAAAGCCACUGUGAAAAAACGCUGAGGGUCAUUUUUGUGUUUGGUAA